rnacentral:lncRNA from 1 species
AUUGCCCUGGUGGUUCCGCCUCGUGGGUUAGAUCCCAAAUUACGCCCGCUCUCGAUCCUUAAUAAUGGGAAGGGGCUUCCACUUGUCGCCCUCCGCCUCCUGCACCUCAGUGACUUCCCUGACCAAGGAGGAAGAAUUGGCGUGCAGCCUGGGCUUCCCUCAAUGGCCACCAUUCCGCUGGCACAAUGUAGUGCCCUGCCCCGGGCCUCAGUUUCCCCAUCUGUGGAACUGAGUGUGGCCUCGACGUCAAAAAUGUGGACUCUGGUCCGGUCGCGGUGGCUCACGCCUGGAUUGUGAGAAAGCAAGUGAAAUUACUCGUGGAAGUGAAUGGACUGCUUUGAGUCUUCAAGGCGUUAAUUUUCCAAACGUUUGAAUUCUAUCCCUGGUCUGAGAGCUAGGGAUGCAGCCUAGCAAGGGAAACAGGUAACUAAUAUAGAACAGCAGUACCUGCAAAUAUCUGUCUCUGUGAGGAUAGAUCAAAUCCAGGCUUGGUCACUCACCACCCCUGUGAUCUUGGACAACCUCUUAACCUCUCUGGGCUUCAGUUUCAUCUGCUAAGUGGGAAAGCAGUGGUGUGUGGUGAUUAAAAGCUUCAGCUUUGGAGCUGGAUGGUCAACAUGGAAUCCUGGGCCUUAAACUCAGUGUCUCUGAGACAUAGGACAAAGUACAGUCAGCUGUCCAUGUUUACAGGUUCCCCAUCUACGGAUUGAAGCAACUGUGGGUGGUUAAUAUUUGUGGGGGAAAACAGUAAAAAAUAACAGUUCAACAAUAAAAAUAAUACAGAUUCCGAAAGCAAUACAGCAUAGCAAUUACUUAUAUAGCAUUUACAUUGUAUUAAGUAUUGUAAGUAAUUUAAAGAUGAUUUUCAAUAUACUGGAGGAUUUGUGUAGGUUAAAUGCAAGUAUUCUCGCAUUUUGUAAGCACCCAAUGGUUCUCCUUGCCUGCUUCCUAGACAGAACCAAUUUAUCAAGACAGGGGAAUUGCAAUAGAGAAAGUUUAAUUCACACAGAGCUGGCUGAACAGGAGACCACAGUUUUAUUAUUACUCAAAUCAGUCUCCCUGGAAAUUCAGGGUUUUCAAGGAUAAUUUGGUGGCUGGAGGUGCUGGGGAUUAGAGAGUGUUGAUAGGUUGGAUCAGAGAGGAAAGGAGUCAAAGCUGUCCUCUUGCACUGAGUCAGAUCCUGGGUUAGGACCAUAGGACCAGAUUAGCCAGAUUACAGGGCUGGGUGGCGUCAGCUGGUGCAUUAGAACACGGGUUCUGCAAAAUAUCUCAAGCACUGAUUUUAGGUUUUAGAACAGUGAUGUUACUCCCGGAAGCAAUCUGGGGAGGGUCAGAAUCUUGUAGCCUCCAGCUUGCGUGACCUCCUAAACCAUAAUUUCUAAUCUUUUAGCUAAUUUGUUAGUCUACAAAGGCAGACCCGUUCCUAGGCAAGGAGGGGAUUUGUUUUGGGAAAGGGCUAUUAUUGCCUUUGUUUCAAAGUUAAACUAUAAACUAAGUUCUUUCCAACAUUAAUUCCACCUAUGUCCAGGAAUGAUCAAGGACAGCUUGGAAGUUAGAAGCAAGAUGGAGUCAGGCCAGAUCUCUUUCACUAUCAUAAUUUUCUCAGUUAUGCUUUUUACAAAGGUGGUUUUGAUUUUACAUAAGGGACUUGAGCAUCGAGAAUUUUGGUAUCCAUGGGGACUAAGGUACCAAUCCCUCACAGAUACUAAGGGAUGACUGAGCUCAAGUUUUCAGCUUCAGUUUGCUCAUCUAUAAAGCAGGUUUAAUAAUAACACUUUGUUGAUAAUGUUAUUCUGAAGAUUAAAGGAAGAGUAAACGUAAACUACUUAGAAGAGUGUCUCUGGCACAUUGUAAGCCCUCAAUAAGUGUGAACUAACACCACUAAUAAGUUCUUUAUAAACUGCCUAAUAGGUAGUCAAAUAAGAGGGGAAAUAAAGCCCUAAGGAGUAAUAUUUGUGUUUUGUUUGCCCUACAUGGUUUUGUGAAAUUUUCUAUUCAUUAUCAAUAUUUAAAGUUGGGGUUUUCAAUCUUUGACUGGGCAUGAUGGCUCAUUCCUGUAAUUCCAACACUUUGGGAGGCCCAGCUGGGAGGAUGGCUUGAGCUCAGAAGUUUGAGAUCAGCCAUGGCCAACAUGGUGAGGCCCCCAUCUCUACAAAAAAAAUAUAUACGCGCGCGCG